rnacentral:rRNA from 1 species
UGAGGAAUAUUGGUCAAUGGGCGAGAGCCUGAACCAGCCAAGUCGCGUGAAGGAAGACUGCCUUAUGGGUUGUAAAACUUCUUUUUAUACAGGAAUAAAAACGGCUUACGUGUAGGCCAUUGCAAGUACUGUAUGAAUAAGCAUCGGCUAACUCCGUGCCAGCAGCCGCGGUAAUACGGAGGAUGCGAGCGUUAUCCGGAUUUAUUGGGUUUAAAGGGGUGCGCAGGCGGGCUUUUAAGUCAGCGGUGAAAUCUGGACGCUUAACGUCCAAACUGCCGUUGAAAACUGGGAGUCUUGAGUAUGGAUGAAGUAGGCGGAAUUCGUUGUGUAGCGGUGACAUGCAUAGAUAUAACGAGGAACUCCGAUUGCGUAGGCAGCUUACUAAGCCAUAAACUGACGCUCAUGCACGAAAAGCGUGGGGAUCAAACAGGAUUAGAUACCCUGGUAGUCCACGCCGUAAAACGAUGAUUACUAGUUGUAUGCGAUAUGAUAGUAUGUGACUAAGCGAAAAGCGAUAAAGUAAUCCACCUGGGGGAGUACGCCGGCAACGGUGAAACUUAAAGGAAAUUGACGGGGGUCAUAGCUG